rfam:Felis catus isolate Cinnamon breed Abyssinian chromosome D4, whole genome shotgun sequence.
GCCUGGGUGGCUCAGUCGGUUAAGCAUAUGACUUCAGUUCAGGUCAUGAUCUCAUGGUUCGUGGGUUCAAGCCCCGCAUCAGGCU